rnacentral:rRNA from 1 species
CCUACGGGUGGCAGCAGUGAGGAAUAUUUGUCAAUGGGCGCUAGCCUGAACCAGCCAAGUAGCGUGAAGGAUGACUGCCCUAUGGGUUGUAACCUUCUUUUAUAUGGGAAUAAAGUGCAGUAUGUAUACUUCUUUGCAUGUACCUUAUGAAUAACGAUCGGCUAACUCCGUGCCAGCAGCCGCGGUAAUACGGAGGAUCCGAUCGUUAUCCGGAUUUAUUGGGUUUAAAGGGAGCGUAGGCGGGUUUUUAAGUGCGUUGUGAAAGUUUGCGGCUCAAACGUAAAAUUGCAGUUGAUACUGGCAUCCUUGAGUACAGUAGAGGUAGGCGGAAUUCGUGGUGUAGCGGGG